rnacentral:rRNA from 1 species
CCCUUAGAUGUCCUGGGCCGCACGCGCGUUACACUGAUGCAUUCAACGAGCUUAUAACCUUGGCCGAGAGGCCUGGGCAAUCUUGUUAACGUGCAUCGUGAUAGGGAUAGAUUAUUGAAAUUAUUAAUCUUGAACGAGGAAUUCCUAGUAAACGCAGAUCAUCAAUCUGCAUUGAUUACGUCCCUGCCCUUUGUACACACCGCCCGUCGCACCUACCGAUUGGAUGGUCCGGUGAAGCCUCGGGAUUGUGGUUCUUGCCGCUUUAUUGUGGCGUGACCGCGAGAACUUGUCUAAACCUUAUCAUCUAAAGGAAGGUGAAGUCGUAACA